rnacentral:rRNA from 1 species
AAUGGGGGCAACCCUGAUCCAGCCAUGCCGCGUGAGUGAAGAAGGCCUUCGGGUUGUAAAGCUCUUUCGGCCGGGAAGAAAUCGCAUGGGUUAAUACCCUGUGUGGAUGACGGUACCGGCAUAAGAAGCACCGGCUAACUACGUGCCAGCAGCCGCGGUAAUACGUAGGGUGCGAGCGUUAAUCGGAAUUACUGGGCGUAAAGCGUGCGCAGGCGGCUUUGUAAGACAGCUGUGAAAUCCACGGGCUUAACCUGGGAACUGCGUUUGUGACUGCCAGGCUAGAGUAUGGCAGAGGGGGGUGGAAUUCCACGUGUAGCAGUGAAAUGCGUAGAGAUGUGGAGGAACACCGAUGGCGAAGGCAGCCCCCUGGGCCAAUACUGACGCUCAUGCACGAAAGCGUGGGUAGCAAA